AAGCAAGGGGUGUUCAGGUUAAAGCUAGAAAUCUGUACACUAUUGAUGGAACAAAGUUGAUUAAAAAAAAAAAGACCUUGCUAUUAGAACUAACAAAUGUCUAUACCAUGAAUAUUUUUCACUACAAUCUCAUUGAAAAAGCAACAUAAAAUAUUUCGAUGCCCUGGACUGGGCCUGGAGAGAUUGCUCAGGGGUUAAGAGCACUUGCUUUUCUUUCAGAGGAACUUGGUGUGUUCCCAGCACCUACAUGAGCUGGCUAACAACUGCCUAUAACUCCAGCUCCAGGGGAAUAUGAAGUCAUCCUUCUGGAUUCCAGUCACCUGCACUCAUGAACAUACCUCCUCUACACAUGCAUGCCUAUAAUUUAAAACAUUAAAGUUUUUAAAAGACAUGCUAUGCAUGCAUGUGUUUGCAGAAGGUCAAGUGCUCUCCAUUAGCUAACCUGGACUGUGUACGACAGCAGGUUUGAGAUGCUUCCACUGGGGACUGUUCACCCUGGAAAUUGUGUAGAAUGUCUUCAGUUAGCAUGCUAAUGUCAGAGUGUUUUGUGCACCUUCAAAUCUUUCAAUCUCAGAAGGACAAAUUGGUUUAAAAAAUAUAGAAAUGCGAUCUAAUCAGUUUGCAACAAGUGAAUGACAGGGGGUGAGAACUUUCCAGAAGAUUCGGGAACUUUGUGUGGUGGAUGUAUAAGCAAACCCUUGUGAAAGGAAGUUGCACCUGCCUAUGAAUGAAGAUUCCUGAAUGGAGGCUCUGUCAGCAAGUGACCGGCCCGUCAGAACUUCAACACUGUGGGGAGACUGGAACGCUGUGGAGCCAGAGGCUAAACAGCCAAUGCUCCCCACCUCUGUAUUGGAACUAACAUAGCUUCUGGGUUGGUAGAAGCUAGUUUUCUGCUAAGAUGUCAUCAGGUAGCAUCCCAGGCCUGCAGAAAAGCUCCCACAUCUCACUGUACCCGCCUCUGAUGUUUCCACCAAUGUGUUUUAAACUUGCCUUGAUUUGUGAUUUUCUUUGUUCCGUAAAACUAUGAAACUGCUUCCAAGUUGGAACAUGGAAUUUGGGGUAACCUAAAUCUGUACUCUGAGAAUCAUGGGAGGUCUUAAGGGCUCCAGAA